AGAACACUUACAGCACUUGCUCUUGGCUCGAUUUGGCGGAAUGAUACAAAUCACACACAUGCGUCAGACAUUGAUCUCCUGUAGUAUAACUGCGCAUAAACUAGAUCCCUACAUCACAGCCGCUCCAUCACUGGAAAGAAAAGAGCUUAAACGUCUCGUCCUCCUGUCCUGUGCAAGAGUGUUGUUAUAAGGUGUGGUGCAUGGUAAAGAAGACAAGAGUCCAGCUGUGUCUCAGUACUGUGUAUUCAGGCUGCAUGUAGGAAAUACAACUGAGGUAAACAGACGUGACGCAGGCAUAUAUUAUAGAUUGACAGACAGCCACCAAGCCACCUGCUACCACCCCUCCUCCGUUGGCGAUGGCUGAAGCUGACAUCAUGCUUGAAGCAAUGGAUCCUGCUGCUAUCCCAGCUGAGGUGAAGCCCAAUGCUCCCAGAAGCACUGGAGUCGCAACCACUGCAACACCUGGACCAAAGUGAACCACAUUAUUGAAAAAAACACACAAAUAUGUGUGCAUGUCGACAAAAGGCUGUCAGUCAUGAGGUAUUUGUGUUUACACCAUCAUCUUACCUGCACCUACAACAACGGCAGCAGCCGUCUCUGAAAUGCAAAACACCCCACACUUAUUAGAUAUCAUCUAUUAUAUAAUAUUGUAAUUUUAUAUCACUUUUCAUGAUGAUAAAAGUAUAAAGAAGGAUACCCACUCAAUGCCAUGUUGUUGACUAUUUGCCGUACACUUCCAGUCUGCAGGGAGUUUAUAUAUAUACUAGAUGUGAGAGGGCGGUUGUGGAAAACCAAACCUAACAAAAAAAAGGUUGUCCUUUCAUUCGUUCAACAGACGGAUGAAAGUUUUGUUUCUGGUGAAAUCAUUCAAAACAUAAAGAUGGGUGUUCAUGGGAACUAAAGUGGAUCCUAUCAUUAAAUUAGGGUGCGUCAUUUUAAAGGUUAGGAAUGUAGAUUGACUGGUAAAUUCACCACAACGUUUCGGUAACGCAUUUCUCCAUUCAUGUCCGCGGUAAACACGUUCAAGUACCAACAGCGGUACCACAGUUUACGAGUUUUUACCGGAUGCAAACUGUUUCUAUAGUAAGUGUAACGCUAAAGUUUGCAAGCAAAAAAUUGUGUUUUCACUAACUCAGUAAAAAACUAAACAGACCAUUUAAAAAAAAAGUAAACUUUAGUGAAUUAUGACUGUCAGAAUGUACAUAAAAUAUAGAACGUGGGAUUUACAAUAUGAACUAUGAACUAUAAAACACUGAAUAUUGAGAAUAUAUAAACGUUGCUCCUGUACUUUCCAGACCACUUCCUUGAUCGACAUAUUUAUAUCGAGCAAGAAAGAACAACAAAGAUGCAACAAACGCGGCGAAACAUAAACUCCAAGGGUUAAAAAAAACAUCCACAUACUCGAUAUAAUAUCACUGUUCUGCAGAACUUUGCUGUAGAAGUCUGCCUCCGUCUGACGCUCGCUAUCAGGCUUUUUGCUCGGUAAACAAGCCCCGCUCACUCUUCCCCAUUCUCUUCUGGUCUGCAUGAAGCAGAGCUUUAUAUGUCACUCAAAAGUGCAGAUUCUAACCAGUGGGAUCAUUUCUAUAGCUUGAAAAUAUCCAGCUGGCCACAUAGAAAUGUAAAUAAUGUUGUAUUAUGCCAAGGUAGCCCAGUUAACUGCUUUUGUUAUGAUGUCUUGCAAGAUCCGUGCCACAACUUCAAACUUGACACCUUAUUGGCUGGUUCUGAGACAAGAUUGAUUGCUUCAGUCGGAGUCUGACUUCUUCAGGAAGUUGGCCCGCGUGUGCACAGAUUCUUUUGAUUCAGAAGAAUGACGAGAGGAGCGCUCCUAAAGUACCUCCUACACCAGCCACAACUCCAGAGGCAGCGCCCAGACCAGCUGCACCUACAUUGAGAUGAAAAACACUCCAUUUAGUUACUUUAUGUUCUUUGUAUUUUAUUUACUUAGAAAAUACACUACAUGGGCACAUCACUGCAAAGUGGCUAUUCAGAUACAAGAGAAGUCAUUUCUACCAUUAAAACAUGCAAAAUAAAGUUUUGAUAAGUUUCUAUUUGUACUGCAAUGAAUCCAAUAACUUGUAUUCUAAACUAUUAUGUUUAUAAAAGACACAUACACGCCACUC